GAUGAACGCUGGCGGCGUGCUUAACACAUGCAAGUCGAACGGAAAGGCUCCUGCUUGCAGGGGUACUCGAGUGGCGAACGGGUGAGUAACACGUGGGUGAUCUGCCCUGCACUUCGGGAUAAGCCUGGGAAACUGGGUCUAAUACCGGAUAGGACGAUGGUUUGGAUGCCAUUGUGGAAAGUUUUUCGGUGUGGGAUGAGCUCGCGGCCUACCAGCUUGUUGGUGGGGUAAUGGCCUACCAAGGCGUCGACGGGUAGCCGGCCUGAGAGGGUGUACGGCCACAUUGGGACUGAGAUACGGCCCAGACUCCUACGGGAGGCAGCAGUGGGGAAUAUUGCACAAUGGGCGCAAGCCUGAUGCAGCGACGCCGCGUGGGGGAUGACGGCCUUCGGGUUGUAAACUCCUUUCGCUAGGGACGAAGCGCAAGUGACGGUACCUGGAGAAGAAGCACCGGCUAACUACGUG
rnacentral:rRNA from 1 species